GGGGUAGAAGCUCAGUGGUUGAGCAAUCGAUUGCAGCUUUACUUACGUGGAUUCUACGUAAUAUUGUUACGAUUGAUAUCGAUAGGCCGUGUGUUCGAUCCACACCUGCCCCU
rfam:Rhizoctonia solani isolate BBA 69670 genome assembly, contig: RSOLAG22IIIB_scaffold00446